rnacentral:rRNA from 1 species
GGAUGCCCUCCGUCGUCACCCCUUAAAAAGCGUUACCCCCGUUGGGACUACNUCGUUACGGCGCACUUNCUUCUUCCGGAAGCCCAACAUUUCAAGAAAGCAGCUCCUGCUUUACCACCCACUAUUAUAAGCGGACGACUACUGCAAUCAGGG